AGAGAGAGACAUGCGCGCAUAUCAAUAAGCGGAGGAAAAGAAACUAACUAAGGAUUCCCUAGUAACGGCGAGUGAAGCGGGAAGAGCUCAAAUUUGAAAUCUUAAAGGGUUUCCCUUUACGAAUUGUAGUUUAAAGAAGUGUUUUCUGUUGAGGUUUUGGUAAAAGUUCUUUGGAAUAGGACAUCAUAGAGGGUGAGAAUCCCGUAUUUGACCUUUACUUUCAACUUUGUGAUACACUUUCAAAGAGUCGGACUGUUUGGGAAUGCAGUCCAAAAUGGGUGGUAAAUUUCAUCUAAAGCUAAAUAUUGGCGAGAGACCGAUAGCGAACAAGUACCGUGAGGGAAAGAUGAAAAGAACUUUGAAAAGAGAGUUAAACAGUACGUGAAAUUGUCAAAAGGGAAGCGUUUGACACCAGUGUUGUUUUUCUGAAAAUCAAUUAAAGAACUGUUUAUGCUAAGUUGUUUAGACUUUAUCAGCUAACUGUUUAGUUUUGAGCUUUUCUUUAAUGCACUUUUCAGUUAACAAGUCAACAUCAAUUUCUUUUGCUGUAAAAAAGCUUGAGGAAGGUGGCUUGAGAUUCGUCUUAAGUGUUUAUAGCCUCUUGCCUAUGCAGUCGGAGAGAUUGAGGUCUGCAGCGUAGAUCCUUCGGGGCUAAAUGCAUUUGUGCUAAGUUAUAGCAUUUUAUAGAGCAACUUGUUGACUAUGAUUUGUCUUGUAGCUUACUCGCUUAUGUUAUUUUACCUACGCUUAGGAUGUUGAGCGCAUGUCUCUCUCUA
rnacentral:rRNA from 1 species